UGACGUUGUUCUCUUAGAUGGCCUCUGCGUCGAUCUCCGAUCCUCUUGCGUUCUUCGACGAUCUUCUCCGGUGAAAUCUCCUCCGACAUCGAUCUCCAUCGAUGACAUCUCCUACAGCGGCGAUUUUCUUCGGUGACGUCUCCUCCAGCUCUCUCCUUGUUGUCCUCUGUGUCUUCUCUACCAAAAUCGUCAAUGCCUUCCUCUACGACGAUCCAGAUCCGCCGCUAGGGAUUGCGUUUCACAGGAGAGGAAUUCCUUUGUCAACUUCCAAGCCAAAACCGGUGUAGAGGCUCCCAUUGUGAAUUCACAGACCCUUGAAGAAGUUGGAAGACUUAAAAAGGUCCUUGCUUUUCUAGAUCUGAUGUUCACUUGUUCAAUUUUGAUUUUUGCUCUUUGCUGUUUAUUUCUUAGAUGACCCUUUUUUCUGAUUGCUCAUUUUUGUAAAGAGAAUCUGUUGUCCUUUGUAUUCCUCCUCUGGUAUCUAAUUUUCUCUUUAAUCCCAAAACAAAAAAAUCAUUGAGAUUAUCAUGAACAUCAGACCAUGAUUUUUAAAGUUAAUAAUAAAAUGAGAUAUCAAAUGACCUGUUAUUUUAACCAUUUGCUAGCCUUAAAAGUUUUUAGACAGAAUCUUUAUUCGUAAAAAGAAGAAAAACUAUUUAGUUCUUGCUACCAAGGUAAGCUCAAUAGCUCCCCUAAACUUGAGUAUAUAUUUUUAGGUGAAGCAUAAUGCUUUCUAGAAAAUGAAAGAAAACUAUUUUAGAUUCUUGAUAAAGGGUAAUCAAAAUUGAUAGUUCUCCUAAACUUGCGAAGCACACAAUUAUAGGAAGCCUUAUUAUGAUAUUUCCUUUGGAUGUUAUCUUCAUUGAGAAUUUCUUUUCAUCUAAUUUCAAUUUCUUAUCUAUGGUUAAAAAUUGAUGCUAAUGCAACACAUUUGAUUUGGUGAUAUGGUUAAAAAUUGAUUUUGUUGUUUUCAUAUUAGAGAAAAUUCUUAAUCUAGGAGAAAUUCAAUGAAUCUGUAAUUGAUAUACUGUUUU